rnacentral:rRNA from 1 species
UACAGAGGGUGCGAGCGUUAAUCGGAAUUACUGGGCGUAAAGCGUGCGUAGACGGUUAUUUAAGUCGGGUGUGAAAGCCCCGGGCUCAACCUGGGAAUUGCAUUCGAGACUGAAUAGCUAGGGUACGGUAGAGGGAAGCGGAAUUUCCGGUGUAGCGGUGAAAUGCGUAGAUAUCAGGAGGAACACCGGUGGCGAAGGCGGGUCUCUGGGCCGAUGACUGACGCUGAGGAGCAAAAGCGUGGGGAGCGAA